rnacentral:rRNA from 1 species
UACGGAGGGUGCAAGCGUUAUCCGGAUUCACUGGGUUUAAAGGGUGCGUAGGUGGGUUGGUAAGUCCGUGGUGAAAUCCUGGAGCUCAACUCCAGAACUGCCUUCGAUACUGGCGAUCUAGAGUCCGGAAGAGGUGAGUGGAACUCCUAGUGUAGAGGUGGAAUUCGUAGAUAUUAGGAGGAACACCGGUGGCGAAGGCGGCUACCUGGACCGAUAUUGACGCUGAGACGCGAAAGCGUGGGGAGCAACAG